rnacentral:rRNA from 1 species
AGUGAACGCUGGCGGUAGGCCUAACACAUGCAAGUCGAACGGCAGCACAGUAAGAGCUUGCUCUUACGGGUGGCGAGUGGCGGACGGGUGAGGAAUACAUCGGAAUCUACUUUUUCGUGGGGGAUAACGUAGGGAAACUUACGCUAAUACCGCAUACGACCUACGGGUGAAAGCAGGGGAUCUUCGGACCUUGCGCGAUUGAAUGAGCCGAUGUCGGAUUAGCUAGUUGGCGGGGUAAAGGCCCACCAAGGCGACGAUCCGUAGCUGGUCUGAGAGGAUGAACAGGCAAACUGGAACCGGGACAAGGUCCCAGAUCCCAAGGGAGGCAAGAGUGGGGAAUAUUGGACAAUGGGCGCAAGCCUGAUCCAGCCAUACCGCGUGGGUGAAGAAGGCCUUCGGGUUGUAAAGCCCUUUUGUUGGGAAAGAAAAGCAGCAGGUUAAUACCCCGCUGUUCUGACGGUACCCAAAGAAUAAGCACCGGCUAACUUCGUG